rnacentral:rRNA from 1 species
UACAGAGGUCUCAAGCGUUGUUCGGAUUCAUUGGGCGUAAAGGGUGCGUAGGCGGUUCGGCAAGUCGGAUGUGAAAUCUCCACGCUUAACGUGGAGGGGCCAUUCGAAACUGCUGUGACUCGAGUCCGGUAGGGGAGUGUGGAAUUCCCGGUGUAGCGGUGAAAUGCGCAGAUAUCGGGAGGAACACCAGUAGCGAAGGCGGCACUCUGGGCCGGUACUGACGCUGAGGAGCGAAAGCGUGGGGAGCGAACAGG